rnacentral:lncRNA from 1 species
CCAAAACAGGGGAUCUCUGCUGUAACGUGACAUUUUCUAACGCUCCCAUAGGCUCUCAGAAGGCGCCAGAACGUUGAAUGAUGACUUUGCAGGCCAUGGCUGAAAAACAGUAGCGCAUUUGGAUAGUGGUCGAUCUGAGAACAAUGAGACUGGGGGUGUGUGCACGAGACGACUCCAUGUUUUUAUUUUUUUGUCUUUGAACGAAAACAGCGUUUCCCGGUCGGAAUAUUAUCGCUUUUUUACGAGAAAAAUCGCAUAAAAAUUGAUUUUAAACAGCGUUUGACAUGCUUCGAAGUACGGUAAUGGAAUAUUUAGAAUUUUUUUGUCACGAAACGCGCCGGGCGCCUCACCCUUCUUUACCCUUCGGAUAGUGUCUUGAACGCACGAACAAAACGCCGCUAUUUGGAUAUAACUAUGGAUUAUUUGCAACCAAACCAACAUUUGUUAUUGAAGUAGAAGUCCUGGGAGUGCAUUCUGACGAAGAACAGCAAAGAGGACCUGAGCCCUAGGACCAUGCCUCAGGACUACCUGGCAUGAUGACUCCUUGCUGUCCCCAGUCCACCUGGUCGUGCUGCUGCUUUCAACUGUUCUGUCUGCGGCUAUGGACGUGCUACCUUGUCCCAGACCUGCUUUUUUCAACUCUCUAGAGACAGCAAGAGCGGUAGAGAUAGUCUGAAUGAUCGGCUAUGAAAAGCCAACUGACAUUUACUCCUGAGGUGCUGACCUGUUGCACCCUUGACAACCACUGUGAUUAUUAUUAUUUGACCCUGCUGGUCAUCUAUGAACAUUUGAACAGCUUGGCAAUGUUCUGUUAGAAUCUCUACCCGGUACAGACAGAAGAGGACUGGCCAUCCCUCAUAGCCUGGUUCCUCUCUAGGUUUCUUAAUAGGUUCUGGCCUUUCUAGGGAGUUUUACCUAGCCACCGUGCUUCUACACCUGCAUUGCUUGCUGUUUGGGGUUUUAGGCUGGGUUUCUGUAGAGCACUUUGUGACAUCAGCUGAUGUAAGUAGGGCUUUAUAAAUACAUUUGAUUGAUUUGAUUGAUUGAUUGAAACAGACACAUUAACCUGCGUAGUACAUUAAUCUUAAUGACAUUGAUGCUUCCUAUAAGAGAGAUGGGUAGGGUAAUCCACUUGGACAGGUCUUUACCAAUCUCCAUCAAUGGACUGGAAGUUAGUUUGUAUACAUUAUUCAAGUCUCCAUCAGUCACAAUUCCCAAUAAUUUAAUGUUGGACCCCAUCACUGCUGGAUACAUAUGACCUCAUCACUGGUGGAUUUGCUUUAGAUAUUUGAAAGACCUCACUCUUCGACCAGUUCAUUUUAUAACCAGAGAAAGUACUGAAAUAAACACAUUCAAUAGGGUCUUCAGUGAUGUCUGGUUUUGUGAGAAAUACUAAGAUAUCAUCAGCGUACAAAGAAAUAUUGUGCACUACAUCUCCCACUGAAAACACUGUAUUGCGAGAGUCCUAACCAAUCUUUUGAGCCAGUGGUUCCAAAAUCAAAGCAAACAAAAGGGGGAGAGCGGACACCCUAGUCUUGUAAUACAACCAAUAGAGAAAGGGAGAAGACACCAUUCCAUUUGUACUAAAUUUGGCUUUUGGUCUGUCAAAUAAAAACUUAACACAAUUACUGAAAUAAGUACAAACAUUCAAAUUCUCCAAAACCUUUAAGAGAUAAACCCUUAGAUCGCGUAGAAUGGGAGUAUCUGACUGUCUUACUUCGGGUAAGAUAUGAAUAAGGCGCUUUAAGUUAGUAGUUGACAUUCUAUCUUUAAUGAACCCUGUGUUAUGUGGAAUGCAAAAACCCAGGAAAAUGAACAGCUACAGUAGGCUACAAUACUGUAAAGUAGGCCUAAUACUGCUAAAAACAAUACUGAAAUAAAUCGACUGCUGGUAUUUACUGUACGCUGCACAUUUUUACAUUGUAUUCCAUUUCCAGCAAGACUAUUCAAGCGAUCAACUCACUAAUGGAUGAAGAUGCGCUCGGCAAAGGCCAUGAAAAUUGCUACAGAAAAAACCAUUACAGAACCACCCACCAAAAGAAGACCAUGCAGCAUGGAUUGGAGCAUCGGGGAAAAGGACGGACAUGGGAGUCGGAACGUCGAUUCUGGGAGGACAAGCUAAGGGAGCUACGGGAACCUGAGAGGCAGCCUCUGAAUUAUUUUUGGGGGGGCACACGGGGAGUUGGGGUAAGUCAGGCAAUAGACCUGAGCCAACUCCUCGUGCUUAUUAUGGGGAGCGUUUGGCGUGGAAAGCACCGUG